rnacentral:ncRNA from 1 species
CUGCUCGUUUAAGAAUUCAUCAAUCCGAUAAACAAAAAGAUUAUGUAUUCUGGAAAUACGACAAGUUGAAGAACUUUGUUGUUAAGGGUCCCAGAUUUACCAAAGUCUGGCAUGACUCAAAACGGAACAAAGAUCAUUAUUCUUGGUAUUUCCACACUCAAAGCAACGAAGCUUUGGGAUUAAUACACAAACUGUUUUAUCAGAAUAAUAUCAAAAUCGUGCCAAGAGAUUUAAUAGGAAUAUUAGACCCUCUCGGUUUAGCAGUUUGGUAUAUGGAUGACGGAUCCAAUAAUGGCAGUAACAUAACUCUUAAUACUCACUGUUUUUCUAACGAAGAACAGAAAAUGAUAAGGAACUGGUUUCGCGAUAAAUUCGCGAUUCGGACAACGCUCGUAAAAGAUCGGAGCAAAUUCAAAAUAGCCAUCGGCUGUAAUGAAAUGCCGAAAUUUAUGAAUAUUGUUCAGUCUCAUAUCAUUUCAUCAAUGAGCUACAAGAUUGUCAGUCCCCGUAACGACUUGAUUCUAAAUAGGAAUCAGAUAGUAGCUUUUUAGCUAUCAUAAAACGUCAGUCCGAUUUUAUCGGAAAAUCGGAAAGGUAUAGUCUAUACUGCUGGUAACAGCAGAGUUGUUCACAAUUUUGUGAAUAUAUGUCAAACCGUCGUGAGACAGGUUGGUCCAUAUCUGGUGCGGGCGUUAAUACUUGAGAGGAGUUGUCCCUAGUACGAGAGGACCGGGAUGAACGAACCUCUGGUCUACGAGCUGUCCUGCCAAGGGCAUCGCUCGGUAGCUAUGUUCGGUUCUGAUAAGCGCUGAAAGCAUAUAAGCGCGAAGCAGGCCUCAAGAUUAGGUAUUUGAUCCGCAGUAGAUGACUGCGUUGAUAGGGCUUAGGUGUAAGCGCCGCGAGGCGUUGAGCCGAGAGCUACUAAUAGAUCUAUUUUUUGAGUAA